rnacentral:ncRNA from 1 species
CCGUUCCGGGCGCGUGGUGGACUGCCCAGGCCAUGUACGGCGGCAAGGAGAGGAAGCCGGUGCGAAUCCGGCGCGGUCCCGCCACUGUCACCGGGGAAGAACAUCCCGGGAGCCAGGAACUCUCACCGCCGAAUCUCGUCGAAC